UUAAGUUAGAAAGGGCGCACGGUGGAUGCCUUGACACUAGGAGUCGAUGAAGGACGGGACUAACGCCGAUAUGCUUCGGGGAGCUGUAAGUAAGCUUUGAUCCGAAGAUUUCCGAAUGGGGAAACCCACCAUACGUAAUGGUAUGGUAUCCUUAUCUGAAUACAUAGGGUAAGGAAGACAGACCCAGGGAACUGAAACAUCUAAGUACCUGGAGGAAGAGAAAGCAAAUGCGAUUUCCUGAGUAGCGGCGAGCGAAACGGAACAUAGCCCAAACCAAGAGGCUUGCCUCUUGGGGUUGUAGGACAUUCUAUACGGAGUUACAAAGGAACGAGGUAGACGAAGCGACCUGGAAAGGUCCGUCGUAGAGGGUAACAACCCCGUAGUCGAAACUUCGUUCUCUCUUGAAUGUAUCCUGAGUACGGCGGAACACGUGAAAUUCCGUCGGAAUCUGGGAGGACCAUCUCCCAAGGCUAAAUACUCCCUAGUGAUCGAUAGUGAACCAGUACCGUGAGGGAAAGGUGAAAAGCACCCCGGAAGGGGAGUGAAAGAGAUCCUGAAACCGUGUGCCUACAAAUAGUCAGAGCCCGUUAACGGGUGAUGGCGUGCCUUUUGUAGAAUGAACCGGCGAGUUACGAUCCCGUGCGAGGUUAAGCUGAAGAGGCGGAGCCGCAGCGAAAGCGAGUCUGAAUAGGGCGUUUAGUACGUGGUCGUAGACCCGAAACCAGGUGAUCUACCCAUGUCCAGGGUGAAGUUCAGGUAACACUGAAUGGAGGCCCGAACCCACGCACGUUGAAAAGUGCGGGGAUGAGGUGUGGGUAGCGGAGAAAUUCCAAUCGAACCUGGAGAUAGCUGGUUCUCCCCGAAAUAGCUUUAGGGCUAGCCUUAAGUGUAAGAGUCUUGGAGGUAGAGCACUGAUUGGACUAGGGGUCCUCAUCGGAUUACCGAAUUCAGUCAAACUCCGAAUGCCAAUGACUUAUCCUUAGGAGUCAGACUGCGAGUGAUAAGAUCCGUAGUCAAAAGGGAAACAGCCCAGACCGCCAGCUAAGGUCCCAAAGUGUGUAUUAAGUGGAAAAGGAUGUGGAGUUGCUUAGACAACUAGGAUGUUGGCUUAGAAGCAGCCACCAUUUAAAGAGUGCGUAAUAGCUCACUAGUCGAGUGACUCUGCGCCGAAAAUGUACCGGGGCUAAAUACACCACCGAAGCUGCGGAUUGAUACCAAUGGUAUCAGUGGUAGGGGAGCGUUCUAAGGACAGUGAAGUCAGACCGGAAGGACUGGUGGAGUGCUUAGAAGUGAGAAUGCCGGUAUGAGUAGCGAAAGACGGGUGAGAAUCCCGUCCACCGAAUGCCUAAGGUUUCCUGAGGAAGGCUCGUCCGCUCAGGGUUAGUCAGGACCUAAGCCGAGGCCGACAGGCGUAGGCGAUGGACAACAGGUUGAUAUUCCUGUACCACCUCUUUAUCGUUUGAGCAAUGGAGGGACGCAGAAGGAUAGAAGAAGCGUGCGAUUGGUUGUGCACGUCCAAGCAGUUAGGCUGAUAAGUAGGCAAAUCCGCUUAUCGUAAAGGCUGAGCUGUGAUGGGGAAGCUCCUUAUGGAGCGAAGUCUUUGAUUCCCCGCUGCCAAGAAAAGCUUCUAGCGAGAUAAAAGGUGCCUGUACCGCAAACCGACACAGGUAGGCGAGGAGAGAAUCCUAAGGUGUGCGAGAGAACUCUGGUUAAGGAACUCGGCAAAAUGACCCCGUAACUUCGGGAGAAGGGGUGCUUUCUUAACGGAAAGCCGCAGUGAAUAGGCCCAAGCGACUGUUUAGCAAAAACACAGCUCUCUGCGAAGCCGUAAGGCGAAGUAUAGGGGGUGACACCUGCCCGGUGCUGGAAGGUUAAGGAGAGGGGUUAGCGUAAGCGAAGCUCUGAACUGAAGCCCCAGUAAACGGCGGCCGUAACUAUAACGGUCCUAAGGUAGCGAAAUUCCUUGUCGGGU
rnacentral:rRNA from 1 species